GCCAGUCCACUGACCACAGCAUGGGGGCACACAGGCUUUUCCAUCAGGGGUUGCUGCCUUUAGCCUUCAUUGCAGCAAGAAGGAUGCAAGCUAGACACACGACAUAUCUGUGACAGCCCACUAGCUGGGGUUCCUUCUGUGCCUAGAACCAGAGGUGAGUUUUAUGCAGACUUCACCAUGACUCUUACUCUACAACUGGGGAAACUGAAUCUCUGAGAGGCUCUUAAAUGCCACUCAGUUCUACUCUUAGGGGUCUUUCUUGCUGGUCUUCAGAGAGUUGUUUGAGGCUGAGAGGUGGAGAUACACAGAUACUGCAAGGUCAGGACAUACACUGGCCAGCAUCCUUAGUGCCUAGCUUUUCCUUGAUUUACUCUGAUGGCCCUGACUUUCAAGGCAACGCUCCACAAUUUACAAGUGCCACAUGUCACUCCCCGCUGUAAGUUGCCCCAGGCCCCUCACCCUCCAACAGCGUCUGUAUGCACGUAUUCCUGUUCUGUUAUGAUGCUUCCAACCUGGUCACUGCCACCUACAAACCGCACAUCCCCGUAACAAAGAUCCCAAGCAGAGAAAGGGGCUGUUUUAUUUCUUAGAUUUAGAGUGAUCGUGGGCAGCGAUUUUUCCCUUUCUGUUUAUUUCCAUUAAAGUUGUGGUUUGCACAAUGUUUUUACAUUUUUCUGUUAUUGUGUUUUUUUUUCCUAUUUUCAAGUAAAAUGAACUCAUUAUAAAAGUGCAGAAAGGUAAGAAAAACUAUCAAAAUCUCUCAUAAUGUCAUGUUGAAACACGGUCACUUAGAAGUAUAAUAACAGCUUGCCUUCCAACAAGUCUGCUAUUUAUCACUUACGAUAACCCUGAAUCAAAACAUUUUUUUCCUGAGGGGGGAAAAAAACCAAGC
ensembl:antisense Gm37469 predicted gene, 37469